rnacentral:rRNA from 1 species
UACAGAGGAUACAAGCGUUAUCCGGAAUGAUUGGGCGUAAAGCGUCUGUAGGUGGCUUUUUAAGUCCGCCGUCAAAUCCCAGGGCUCAACUCUGGACAGGCGGUGGAAACUACCAAGCUGGAGUACGGUAGGGGCAGAGGGAAUUUCCGGUGUAGCGGUGAAAUGCGUAGAUAUCGGAAGGAACAUCAGUGGCGAAAGCGGCUUCCUGGACCAGUACCGACGUUCAGGCACGAAAGCGUGGGGAGCAAACAGG